GCCGUCCAUCGAAACCCUAGCCGUAAUCACGCCGCGCCUUCCCCUCACCGGCGUCGCCAGUCCCUCUCCUCCUCUCCCUCCUGUCUCACCGACCCGGCGCGAAGACGAUGAAGGCACCAGCGGAAAACAAGAGAGAGGGGUGGAGUGCCGCGGCACCGAUGGCGCCGGCCGCUUCCCGCGGUGGAUCCGACGGCGACGACGGUGCCGGCGGUUUCCCCCGGCCCGAUCCACCCGCGGCAACGGCUUCCCGUGGUGGAUCUGACGGCGAUGACGGCGGUGGCGGUUGCAACAGCUACGAUAUACUGGGCAAGCUGCCUUCGUCACCGGGACGAGAUGGUCGCCGCCGCUGCCGAUCUGAGCCCGACUCCUGGCCACCCUCGAAGCUCCUCCCCACAUUGAAACUUCUAGAAGAUCCUUCAUAGUCCCUCCAAGCUAUUUUUAUUGUCCCUUCAAGUUCGAUUCCCCCCACAACCGAUCCAAAGAUCGGGUCGUCGUAGCCAUUGCUGCAGCUCCAGCUAUCUCAGGCUCCUCCAGGAGAGCCCAAUCCGUGUCAUGUAGUGUUGCUGCUACACCAGGUUCCCUGCGUCUCCUCCACUCAGCCUGCUGCUGACCUGCUUCCAUUUAGUUAAACCAAUGUUAUGUAGUAGUCACAUUUUUUAGAGGACACCUGGUGGAGAUUCAGGCCUCCGAAGCUCGAGGGCUACAUUGUGCAGUAGUUUCCAAGAGAACUAAACUAAGAUCAAGAAAUUCAUGUUUGGACUGCACCUAAAUUUAUGAGUUAUGAUGCAAAAUAGUUGUAUAUGCUGUUUUUCAUUAUUACAUAUAAAAUUUAGCUCAAAUUGGAAUGGACUUAUAUAUCAAUGUUGUGACAGAUUAUUUUGUUGCCCAAUUUAAAUUAGACUAUCAAUGGAAGUUCUGCAAAAGCAAGAUACAAAAUAUAGAACAUCCGAUGGUGUGUUAGGAGGAUCGUUUCCACCCAUUGGUUGCAUCUGUAAUUUGUGCUCUUUUUUUCCCAGGGGUUGGGGGUUCAGAGGUACUGCCUGCUAGCUUCUAUGACUCUAGCUGUGUGUGCUGCUACUAUCCAUUUGCCGCUAGCUGUGAUGUGAGGCUACUAUCUGCAAUUACAUGUGGUGAUGGCUUCCAUGUCAAAAUUGGUGGUUGAGGGCUAAUUUGAUAAUAUUGCUUUGAGGACUAAUUCAGCGUUGAGGACUAAUUCGAUAAUAUUGCUUCAUCCCACAUAAUGUCGUGUAUACUGAAAUAUUCAGCGAUAUCGCGAAUCAACGUGCUUAAUUUUACCAGAUUGUAGUGCAUGGUGCCCAAAAUCAUCAAAUUGAGAGAUAUAUGAUGUGUUAUGCUUCUUCCGUGUGGUUGUAUGUUCCCACUGUAGUGUGCAGUUCUUCACCUAAAUACAAAGGUUGAUCAAGUUGUUUAUUGGUGCCAUCUAUUUGUUGUUAUCCUGGUAGUCUACUAUCGAUGCAAAGUUGCAAACGACAACCAAACCCAGAGGCUGACCAUUAUCAUUUCCUUUCCUUCAUUCAGUUACAAUGCUACAAACUUUUCCAUGUUUGUUGUUGUGCGUACCUCUAUAUGUAAUGCACUAUGCAAAAUCAUUAGGUUGUAUAUGCUACCACCAAUAUGCACACACUUGGUCUUUGAUGAUGUUCUUAUGCCUAUGAUGUACCGUAUUUGUUAAUGUGUGUAUUGAGAUGCUGCAGUUCCUGUUCAUUUGCCAAUAUUAUUGACACGCCGUAUGCAUUAGUAAACUAAUAUGCUAUUAGCAAUGUUCAGGGCUUCAGGCACAUCUAAUUUGCUAUCUUUUACUCCUAUACGUUUGCAAUGUUUAGAUUAUCCACACAAUUCUUAUUUUACCAAAAUAUUGUAUUGUAUUUGUUGAUGUCUCUUCAUCCUUUAGUUUUUUUAUGCUUUUUAUUGGGUCCGCGGCAAAGGCCGCGGGGGGUACGACCUAGUUACAAUGAUGGAGCUAGCGAACAGGCGAUGAACAGGAUGGAGGAUGCCGACGACGUGCAAGACUUUCACUGCAAUAUUAUCAGAAGCCGAUCGAAUAAUUCUGCAGAUUCCAGGGUGAGCAAGAUAGAGACAUUGUUCUAUGCCAACAAGGAGAGGACAGGCAGCCACAUUUUGUGCUUGGUGAAGGCUCUUCAUCAGCUGGUUUGCUAUGAGAGAGAGGCAGCUGGCCAACAUGAGGCUGGAUAUUGAACUGCACCGGCCACGGGCUUUCCGGACCAGGCCUAGCUAGUUAGCAUGUCUGAGCCAUAUAUGCAGACUAGUUGAUAUCCCGCGCUUUGCUACGAAAUAUGUGAAUGAAUGCAUGUUAUAUAUUAUAGAAAUGAUAGAUGUAUAUACCUAAAUAAUUAAAGAGUUGGUGAUGGUGUA